GUCUAGCCCAAUUUAUGCCUGGGCCCAACAAGCAGAGACCCAAAAAUCAAAUUAAUUAAACCCAAACUAAAUCUACCCAAACAGCCCCAUUACAAGCCCAAAUGCCAAACCCAAAUAAAACAAAGCCCAAAUCCAAACAAGCCCAUUACAGCAAGGCCCAACAAAGGUCAAACUAGGGUUUCAGCUUUGCUGAAACCCUAGCUAAGGCGCCGCACGUCCCUAGGGGCUCCUAAUGUCCACCGCCGCUCUAGCUUCUGCCACCGACGCCACCAGCUCUCUGCCACCAACUACUCCCAUCAAUUACCUGCAAGGACAAUACGCAAAGCAGAGGCAAAAACAGUGCAAAAUAAUAGAAAUAGAUAAAUAUGUAUUGUAAUCGGCUAUAUAAGGACACAAAGAAAAUGUAACGGGGCUUCCUCUCUUUUACUAACACUUUCAGAAAUAACAAAAAAAAAACAAGAUUUGAAGGUGAUUGCUGACUUUUUAUUUUCGUUUUUGCAUACUUUGAUUUUUUUUCUUUAUUUUUUUUUGCCUUUUAUUUAUAUACAUAUAAUAUAUAUAUAACAACAUAAAGAGAAGAGAGGAGAACUCACCGAGACGGGGUUUCCCUCGCCGAUCUAGUGUUCGUCGGUCGUCGGAGGCGGUGGCCAUGCGACGAACAGAGCAGCGGCGCAACAAGGGGGCCUUAGAGUCCCAAAGGUCGGACCUUUGAGAGGAAAUAGGGGUUUUAGAUUUUUUUUGUUAAAUUUAGGGGAUCUGAAAUGAAUUUUUGGAAACAAAUGGGUUUAAAUACCCCUGACGAAACGGCGCCGUUUU
rnacentral:lncRNA from 1 species